rnacentral:rRNA from 1 species
UACGGGAGGCAGCAGUGGGGAAUAUUGCACAAUGGGCGAAAGCCUGAUGCAGCUAUGCCGCGUGUAUGAAGAAGGCCUUAGGGUUGUAAAGUACUUUCAUCGGGGAGGAAAAAACAAAACUAAUAAUUUUAUUUCUUGACGUUACCCGAAAAAGAAGCACCGGCUAACUCCGUGCCAGCAGCCGCGGUAAUACGGAGGGUGCUAGCGUUAAUCAGAAUUACUGGGCGUAAAGAGCACGUAGGUGGUUUUUUUAAAGUCAGAUGUGAAAUCCCUGGGCUUAACCUGGAACUGCAUUUUGAAACUGAAAUACUAGAGUAUCGUAGAGGGAGGUAGAAUUCUAGGUGUAGCGGUGAAAUGCGUAGAUAUCUGGAGGAAUACCUGUGGCGAAAGCGGCCUCCUAAACGAAUACUGACACUGAGGUGCGAAAGCGUGGGGAGCAAAACAGGGAUUAAAUACC